CCUACGGGAGGCAGCAGUGAGGAAUAUUGGUCAAUGGGCGCGAGCCUGAACCAGCCAAGUAGCGUGAAGGAUGACUGCCCUACGGGUUGUAAACUUCUUUUAUAAAGGAAUAAAGUGAGGCACGUGUGCCUUGUUGUAGGUCCUUUAUGAAUAAGGACCGGCUAACUCCGUGCCAGCGGCCGCGGUAAUCCGGAGGAUCCGAGCGUUUUCCGGAUUUAUGGGGUUUAAAGGGAGCGUAGAUGGGUUGUUAAGUCAGUUGUGAAAGUUUGCGGCUCAACCGUAAAAUUGCAAUUGAUACUGGCAGGCUGGAGUACAGUUGAGGUAGGCGGAAUGCGUGGUGUAGCGGUGAAAUGCUUAGAUAUCACGAAGAACUCCGAUUGCGAAGGCAGCUUACUAAACUGCCACUGACAUUGAUGCUCGAAAGUGUGGGUAUCAAACAGGAUUAGAUACCCCAGUAGUC
rnacentral:rRNA from 1 species